rnacentral:rRNA from 1 species
AACGUAGGACACAAGCGUUAUCCGGAGUUACUGGGCGUAAAGGGCGCGUAGGCGGCCUCGUCCGUCCGGCGUGAAAUGCCUGGGCUCAACCUAGGAAUUGCGCUCGAUACAGCGAGGCUAGAGUGUGGGAGAGGUUGGUGGAAUUCCCAGUGUAGAGGUGAAAUUCGUAGAUAUUGGGAAGAACACCGGUGGCGAAGGCGGCCAACUGGACCACAACUGACGCUGAGGCGCGAAAGCGUGGGGAGCAAACAGG